rnacentral:rRNA from 1 species
GGUUAAGCGACUAAGCGUACACGGUGGAUGCCCUGGCAGUCAGAGGCGAUGAAGGACGUGCUAAUCUGCGAUAAGCGUCGGUAAGGUGAUAUGAACCGUUAUAACCGGCGAUUUCCGAAUGGGGAAACCCAGUGUGAUUCGUCACACUAUCAUUAACUGAAUCCAUAGGUUAAUGAGGCGAACCGGGGGAACUGAAACAUCUAAGUACCCCGAGGAAAAGAAAUCAACCGAGAUUCCCCCAGUAGCGGCGAGCGAACGGGGAGGAGCCCAGAGCCUGAAUCAGUGUGUGUGUUAGUGGAAGCGUCUGGAAAGGCGCGCGAUACAGGGUGACAGCCCCGUACACAAAAAUGCACAUACUGUGAGCUCGAUGAGUAGGGCGGGACACGUGGUAUCCUGUCUGAAUAUGGGGGGACCAUCCUCCAAGGCUAAAUACUCCUGACUGACCGAUAGUGAACCAGUACCGUGAGGGAAAGGCGAAAAGAACCCCGGCGAGGGGAGUGAAAAAGAACCUGAAACCGUGUACGUACAAGCAGUGGGAGCACGCUUCGGCGUGUGACUGCGUACCUUUUGUAUAAUGGGUCAGCGACUUAUAUUCUGUAGCAAGGUUAACCGAAUAGGGGAGCCGAAGGGAAACCGAGUCUUAACUGGGCGUUAAGUUGCAGGGUAUAGACCCGAAACCCGGUGAUCUAGCCAUGGGCAGGUUGAAGGUUGGGUAACACUAACUGGAGGACCGAACCGACUAAUGUUGAAAAAUUAGCGGAUGACUUGUGGCUGGGGGUGAAAGGCCAAUCAAACCGGGAGAUAGCUGGUUCUCCCCGAAAGCUAUUUAGGUAGCGCCUCGUGAAUUCAUCUCCGGGGGUAGAGCACUGUUUCGGCAAGGGGGUCAUCCCGACUUACCAACCCGAUGCAAACUGCGAAUACCGGAGAAUGUUAUCACGGGAGACACACGGCGGGUGCUAACGUCCGUCGUGAAGAGGGAAACAACCCAGACCGCCAGCUAAGGUCCCAAAGUCAUGGUUAAGUGGGAAACGAUGUGGGAAGGCCCAGACAGCCAGGAUGUUGGCUUAGAAGCAGCCAUCAUUUAAAGAAAGCGUAAUAGCUCACUGGUCGAGUCGGCCUGCGCGGAAGAUGUAACGGGGCUAAACCAUGCACCGAAGCUGCGGCAGCGACACUAUGUGUUGUUGGGUAGGGGAGCGUUCUGUAAGCCUGUGAAGGUGUACUGUGAGGUAUGCUGGAGGUAUCAGAAGUGCGAAUGCUGACAUAAGUAACGAUAAAGCGGGUGAAAAGCCCGCUCGCCGGAAGACCAAGGGUUCCUGUCCAACGUUAAUCGGGGCAGGGUGAGUCGACCCCUAAGGCGAGGCCGAAAGGCGUAGUCGAUGGGAAACAGGUUAAUAUUCCUGUACUUGGUGUUACUGCGAAGGGGGGACGGAGAAGGCUAUGUUGGCCGGGCGACGGUUGUCCCGGUUUAAGCGUGUAGGCUGGUUUUCCAGGCAAAUCCGGAAAAUCAAGGCUGAGGCGUGAUGACGAGGCACUACGGUGCUGAAGCAACAAAUGCCCUGCUUCCAGGAAAAGCCUCUAAGCAUCAGGUAACAUCAAAUCGUACCCCAAACCGACACAGGUGGUCAGGUAGAGAAUACCAAGGCGCUUGAGAGAACUCGGGUGAAGGAACUAGGCAAAAUGGUGCCGUAACUUCGGGAGAAGGCACGCUGAUAUGUAGGUGAAG